rnacentral:lncRNA from 1 species
CGCGGCCACUCAGACAGACCUCAAACGACAGCUGGAAAAGGGUUUUGUCUUUCAGUUUUCGCGUAACACAAUUAUACGAGAAGAAAGAG